UAUUGCACAAUGGGCGAAAGCCUGAUGCAGCAACGCCGCGUGAGGGAAGACGGUUUUCGGAUUGUAAACCUCUGUUUUCGGUGACGAACAAAUGACGGUAACCGAGUAGGAAGCCACGGCUAACUACGUGCCAGCAGCCGCGGUAAUACGUAGGUGGCAAGCGUUAUCCGGAAUUACUGGGUGUAAAGGGAGCGCAGGCGGGAUAGCAAGUCAGCUGUGAAAACUAUGGGCUCAACCCAUAAACUGCAGUUGAAACUGUUAUUCUUGAGUGCAGUAGAGGCAAGCGGAAUUCCGAGUGUAGCGGUGAAAUGCGUAGAUAUUCGGAGGAACACCAGUGGCGAAGGCGGCUUGCUGGGCUCUAACUGACGCUGAGGCUCGAAAGUGUGAGGAGCAAACAGG
rnacentral:rRNA from 1 species